CUGUUGGGUGUCGGGUGCCUAGCACCUGCCCCAAUUUGAGGUAGUCACCCUUGCCUUUUGAGUACCCUUUCGUUUCCUCGGUGGGCUCGCCCGCCGGUGGACAACCAAAAACUCUUUUGUAAUAGCAGUAUCUUCUGAGAAGAAACAAAUAGUUA
rnacentral:misc_RNA from 1 species